GGACCAGACUCCUACGGGAGGCAGCAGUGAGGAAUAUUGGUCAAUGGCCGGGAGGCUGAACCAGCCAAGUCGCGUGAGGGAAGACGGCCCUACGGGUUGUAAACCUCUUUUGUCAGGGAGCAAGGUGCAGGUCGGGACCUGCUGUGAGAGUACCUGAAGAAAAAGCAUCGGCUAACUCCGUGCCAGCAGCCGCGGUAAUACGGAGGAUGCGAGCGUUAUCCGGAUUUAUUGGGUUUAAAGGGUGCGCAGGCGGAAUGUCAAGUCAGCGGUAAAAUUUCGGGGCUCAACCCCGUCGUGCCGUUGAAACUGGCGUUCUUGAGUGAGCGAGAAGUAUGCGGAAUGCGUGGUGUAGCGGUGAAAUGCAUAGAUAUCACGCAGAACUCCGAUUGCGAAGGCAGCGCACCGGCGCCCUACUGACGCUCAGGCACGAAAGCGUGGGUAUCGAACAGGAUUAGAUACCCGAGUA
rnacentral:rRNA from 1 species